AGUGAACGCUGGCGGUAGGCCUAACACAUGCAAGUCGAACGGCAGCACAGUAAGAGCUUGCUCUUACGGGUGGUGAGUGGCGGACGGGUGAGGAAUACAUCGGAAUCUACUUUUUCGUGGGGGAUAACGUAGGGAAACUUACGCUAAUACCGCAUACGACCUACGGGUGAAAGCAGGGGAUCUUCGGACCUUGCGCGAUUGAAUGAGCCGAUGUCGGAUUAGCUAGUUGGCGGGGUAAAGGCCCACCAAGGCGACGAUCCGUAGCUGGUCUGAGAGGAUGAUCGCCCACAUGGGAAGUGAGACACGGUCCAGACGCCUACGAGAGGCAGCAGUGGGGAAUAUUAGACAAUGGGGGGAAGCCUGAUCCAACCAUACCGCGUGGGUGAAGAAGGCCUUCGGGUUGUAAAGCCCUUUUGUUGGGAAUGAACAGCAGCAGGUUAAUACCCCGCUGUUCUGACGGUACCCAAAGAAUAAGCACCGGCUAACUUCGUG
rnacentral:rRNA from 1 species